rnacentral:lncRNA from 1 species
AUUGGCUGGAGCCGGUGCAGUUAUGUAAAUGAGCACCUGGUGGCGCCUGCUGGCCCGACUCUGGAGCCCGGAAUGAGGUUGGAGGAGCUCUCAGGACAGAGUCAGAUAGGGAGACGAAGAGAAGGCACCUCUGACACUGUUGCUCCUACAAACUUAAGUCCCCUCACCGCGGGCACGCUUUCUGUGCACGACACUUCCUCCCAAGACUGUUAGAGGACCAAAAGACCGAGGGUUUUAAAUCAGAUAAAGUGCUCAUUUCAACAAAGCUUGGAUUAUCCGCAGGACGAGUUCCAGGAGGGGGAAGUAGCAUUAUCCCAGUAAAGAACACUCAGAAAGUUGGGACUGCUGUCAAAGCGCACUUUUCUGCGUCUUUUAGGACUUGGAGGGUAGCGGCGUGUAACAUCGCACCAGCUUCCUCACAUGCUGCCGGAAAUGGAAAACAAAGGGCUCGAUACUUUCUGUCUCCCAAAGGUCAUUAGUCAUGUCUGAGCCAGGAUCUGGCUCUGUGAUUGGAUACUCCACAUGUCGAGGGCCUGCAUCUAAAUAACAAAGACGAAAGCCCAAACGGGGCUUAAAGGUUAGAGCGUGAAAUCGCUUGUUAGGUGUUGGCUCAGUAGAACUAAAAACGUGCUGUCAAUCUCACACUUUAGCGUCUCCGUCAAACAGUAAAUAAUAAUAAUGGUGAGUUAAGCUUGUUGUCCUAAUCUCUGCUAGUCAAACCCUUUAUUCACCAGAUUGAAUUUGAUAUUUUUCAGUGUCCUUGAUUCAGGUCCAAAAUCUUCGUGUAGCUCCUCUGAUGAGACGAAGUAUUUAAAAAAAAAAAAACAAAUUCUGAAAGAAUUCCUCUAAAAAAGAAAUAAAAAGCUAAAAUGAUCCAAAGCAGAGACAUGGGCACAUCCUCCGGGGGACCAGCAGUCACAUGGGUCUGCUGCUGGUGAUUUAUGAGCCAGACCUGGAUAAGUGGUUAAAGAUGAAACAAUCACUGGGAGCUAACAUCCCACACCCAUGUUACCAAGCAACUGUUCACUGCUGGCCCCUCAUGCUGCAGCUUCAGGGUGAUCCCUGAGAUCCUGGGGAUUUUCUGGGUGUGUUCAGCUGAGGAAAGAUCCAGGAUUACCCACCAACCUGCUGGAGCAACUUAAGUUCUCCUCAGGCAGGAGACAGGAAGUGGAAAGAGAAAUAAACGGGGACCUUUGUGUCUUGUCAUCCACAAACUGCAAUUAAGCCACAACUAUCUUCCAUUUCCAGUUUGGGACCUCUUUUCCUCUGGCUCACUUGUUCUUGCCCCCCCACCUCGCGCUCACUGACCCCACCGGCCUGCUCUAAAGGCGCUGUUGAGUGAAUUAAACAGCACGUUUGAAAAGAACAGAUGCAAAAGCAGCAGCUAAUUUCAAUCAUGUGUUAUGGGCAGUAAAUCUGAUGGAGCCGGCUGAACACGUCCUCCAUCCUUUCACCCCUCAAACGAUGCAGAUAAACGUAUGUAGGUUUAUAUUUCACUCGUUAUCAUUAGGAAAAGGUUUCUCAUUUGUGCUGUCGUGGUUGUGAAGACGCGACGCAGUCGAGCGUUUAUUGGUUUGAGGCGACUGAAAUGGCUUCCUUUGGUACCAACGGGUCCCGUUCCGGGCUGUUGUCAGCCCUAAUUGUCACUCUGCAGCUCUUUGUUCACUCCAGUGUUUCCAAUUAACUUAUUAGCAAUUAAAGCUUUGGACUAAAGUUUCUGCUCAUUAAUUUUCGCAUGUACAGAUUAAUGGCAAACGUAUUUAUAGGCAGGCAAAACAAAUCAAAAGAAAGAUUUGUGAUGGACUGUGAGUGAAUC